AUUGAACGCUGGCGGCAGGCUUAACACAUGCAAGUCGAACGAGUGGCGGACGGGUGAGUAAUGUCUGGGAAACUGCCUGAUGGAGGGGGAUAACUACGGGAAACGGUAGCUAAUACCGCAUACCAUCAGAUGUGCCCAGAUGGGAUUAGCUAGUUGGUGGGGUAACGGCUCACCAAGGCGACGAUCCCUAGCUGGUCUGAGAGGAUGACCAGCCACACUGGGACUGAGACACGGACCAGACUCCUACGGGAGGCAGCAGUGGGGAAUAUUGCGCAAUGGGCGCAACCCUGACGCAGCCAUGCCGCGUGAAUGAAGAAGGCCUUCGGGUUGUAAAGUACUUUCAGUAGCGAGGCGUUAACCACAGAAGAAGCACCGGCUAACUCCGUGCCAGCAGCCGCGGUAAUUC
rnacentral:rRNA from 1 species